rnacentral:rRNA from 1 species
UACGUAGGGUGCAAGCGUUAAUCGGAAUUACUGGGCGUAAAGCGUGCGCAGGCGGCUUUGCAAGCCAGAUGUGAAAUCCCCGGGCCCAACCUGGGAACUGCAUUUGUGACUGCAUGGCUAGAGUACGGUAGAGGGGGAUGGAAUUCCGCGUGUAGCAGUGAAAUGCGUAGAUAUGCGGAGGAACACCGAUGGCGAAGGCAAUCCCCUGGACCUGUACUGACGCUCAUGCACGAAAGCGUGGGGAGCAAACAGG